AAAAAUAAACCUAAACAUCCCUAGCCGACUGAUUUCUGACAAGAGCGCCAAGACCACUUAAUAGGGAAAGAACAGCCUCUUCAACAAAUGGUGCUGGGACAACUGGAUAUCCACAUGCAAAAAGAAUGAAAAUUAGACCCCUACCUCACACCAUAU